rnacentral:rRNA from 1 species
UCCUACGGGAGGCAGCAGCUAAGAAUAUUCCACAAUGGACGAAAGUCUGAUGGAGCGACGCCGCGUGGAUGAUGAAGGCCGAAAGGUUGUAAAAUCCUUUUAAACUGGAAGAAUAAGCAUGGUAGGGAAUGACCGUGUGGUGACCGUACAGUUUGAAUAAGCAACGGCUAAUUACGUGCCAGCAGCCGCGGUAACACGGAAGUUGCAAGCGUUGGUCGGAAUUAUUGGGCGUAAAGGGCAUGUAGGCGGUUUUGAAAGCUUGAUGUGAAAUCCCACAGCUUAACUGUGGAACUGCAUUGAGAACUGCAAGACUAGAGUUACUGAAGGGAAACUAGAAUUCCAAGUGUAGGGGUGAAAUCUGUAGAUAUUUGGAAGAAUACCAAUGGCGAAGGCAAGUUUCUGGCAGAUAACUGACGCUGAGGUGCGAAGGUGCGGGGAGCAAACAGGAUUAGAUACCCUGGUAGUCCGCACAGUAAACGAUGUACACUAGGUGUUUGACCAUGAGGUUGGGUGCCAAAGCUAACGUGAUAAGUGUACCGCCUGGGAAGUAUGCCCGCAAGGGUGAAACUCAAAGGAAUUGACGG